AGCGAACGUUAGCGGCGGGCUUAACACAUGCAAGUCGAGCGAGAAAGGGGCUUCGGCCCUGAGUACAGCGGCGGACGGGUGAAUAACACGUAGGUAACCUUCCUUUCAGCGGGGGACAACGGUCCGAAAGGACCGCUAAUACCGCAUACGUUCCCUAGGACCUCGGUCCUGGGGAGGAAAGGCCCGCAAGGGCCACUGGAUGAGGGGCCUGCGUAGCAUCAGCUAGUUGUGGGGUAAUGGCCUACCAAGGCGAAGACGCUUAGCUGGUCUGAGAGGAUGAUCAGCCACACUGGGACUGAGACACGGCCCAGACUCCUACGGGAGGCAGCAGUAGGGAAUUUUCGGCAAUGGGGGGAACCCUGACCGAGCAAUGCCGCGUGAUUGAAGAAGGUCUUCGGAUCGUAAAGAUCUGUUAAUUAGGGAAGAAUGGAAUUGAUAGGAAAUGAUCAAUUUAUGACGUGCCUAAUGAGGAAGCCCCGGUAACUAUGUGCCAGCAGCCCGGGUAACUCUCGU
rnacentral:rRNA from 1 species